GUCUACUGCCAUACCACCCUGAAGGCACCUGUUCUCUUCUGAUCUCGGAAGCUAAGCAGGGUCGGGCCUGGUUAGUACUUGGAUGGGAGAACUACAAUUUCAAAGACAAGGCUACGCUAAAGAUC
rfam:Pongo abelii chromosome 11.